rnacentral:lncRNA from 1 species
CGAAAACAAAUCUACAUUUCAAGAGAUUAGUAACAAACACAAACUGCCCAAGAUAUGGGGAAGCAGUAGAAAACAUGACACAUGUUUUUCUUCAUUGUCCUGCUUCAAUAGAAGUAUGGCAAUUAGUGAACUUACAAUGGUUACUUCAAAAUCUAUUCCAGACUGGUUUGAAUGGCUUGCUUGGGCUUUUGAUGAUUGCUCAAAUCCCCAGAGGCGAAUGAUCUGCGUAUCCGUUUGGGUCCUUCGGACAGAGAGGAACAAGUAUGUGCAUGAAAAAAAUAAAGAAAUCUAGUAAAGAUAUUGCCUUCUUUAUUCAAAAAUACAUAACGAAGCUGGAUAGAUUAGAGGAAAACGGACUUACCAAGGCACCUAUCAGAGACUCAUGGGUUCUGCCUCCUGGAGAAGACAUAAAAAUCAACUUUGAUGUGGGUUUUAAUUGGGGGCUUUUAGAGCAAGCUCGGGAAUAGUUGCCAGAAACAGAAGGGAAAGAGUGAUCGCCUCCAGAGCGACCAUAUACGAGAAUGUUGACUCGGCUUUCGCAGCAGAAGCACAUGCAUGUUUAGAGGCAGUGAAAAUGGGGUUAGAAAUGAAAGAACAUAAAAUUUUUAUUGAAGGGGACUCGAUUUCAGUUAUAAGGAAAUGCACUUCAAAAUCCAGAGGUAAAUCAGAAAUAUGCUCCAUCAUACACGAUAUAAAGACUAUACAGAGAGAGUUCAAAUCCAUAAAAUUUCAGCAUGUCCAUCACACAGCAAGCAAUGCGGCAGAUAUAAUAGCCACUGAAAGUCUGAAGCAAAGGAAAGGGUUUUACCUGGAAGGUGCGGUACCAAGUCAUGCAGUCAAAACGCUAGAAGACGAAUGGAUCAGAGAACCAGACUGAAGCUUUGUGAGGAAGAUGAGUGUUUGCUCCAUGGGAAUCAAAACGUCGGAGUAAAAUGUUUUGAAGCGGAAAUGAUUCUCUGGAAAUCAGGGGAGCAUUGCUUUGGAUGGAAAAGGAUGUUUUUAGGAAAGUGAAACCGUCAGGCACUUAUGAAUGAUAGCUGAUGGGACGGAUAAUGAAUUUCCCGAGUGAGUGGGCUUUAAAUU